rnacentral:rRNA from 1 species
CCUACGGGAGGCAGCAGUGAGGAAUAUUGGUCAAUGGACGCAAGUCUGAACCAGCCAUGCCGCGUGCAGGAAGACGGCUCUAUGAGUUGUAAACUGCUUUUGUACGAGGGUAAACGCAGAUACGCGUAUCUGUCUGAAAGUAUCGUACGAAUAAGGAUCGGCUAACUCCGUGCCAGCAGCCGCGGUAAUACGGAGGAUUCAAGCGUUAUCCGGAUUUAUUGGGUUUAAAGGGUGCGUAGGCGGUCGGAUAAGUUAGAGGUGAAAUCCCGAGGCUCAACUUCGGAAUUGCCUCUGAUACUGUUCGGCGAGAGAGUAGUGGCGGUAGGCGGAAUGUAUGGUGUAGCGGUGAAAUGCUUAGAGAUCAUACAGAACACCGAUUGCGAAGGCAGCUUACCAAGCUACUUCUGACGUUGAGGCACGAAAGCGUGGGGAGCAAACAGGAUUAGAUACCCGGGUAGUC